rnacentral:rRNA from 1 species
UACGUAGGGUGCGAGCGUUGUCCGGAAUUAUUGGGCGUAAAGGGCUCGUAGGCGGUUUGUCGCGUCGGGAGUGAAAUCCACUGGCUUAACUGGUGGCUUGCUUUCGAUACGGGCAGACUAGAGUGUGGUAGGGGAGACUGGAAUUCCUGGUGUAGCGGUGGAAUGCGCAGAUAUCAGGAGGAACACCGAUGGCGAAGGCAGGUCUCUGGGCCACUACUGACGCUGAGAAGCGAAAGCAUGGGGAGCGAACAGG